rnacentral:ncRNA from 1 species
CCUUGACAACUACAUGAUGUAGUUGACAGUUGCCAAGACAAGGAGUGUAACAUG